CCUGCUCCAGCUGCGCCUGGGAGCAGAAAGGAGCCAAAAUCUUCCUCCAGAGUGGGAUUUUAGGAGCUGUGAUCUCUCCCUGGUGAGCAGCAAGACGGAGCCUGAAUUUAUCUUUUUAUCUCUAAAUGAAGAAUCGCAUCUAGAGCACAGUGAGCAGGUACUGGGAAAAUCGUGGACUUCCAUGCACGAAUGGUUGGAGGAGCACUAAGAGGAAGCCUUGCAAUUUCCCGAUGAUCUCUCCUGGUGCGGUAUUUCCCUCUUGUAAUGCCCCAAAAAUUCCCCUUUUCCA
rnacentral:lncRNA from 1 species